CAAUGUCUCAACGAGACGAUAAGUUGGGGUUCCGAAAGCGGUAAAACAGGUGGUCUAACCGACACACGCGAUUACACGAAGUAGUAGCGAUGGCUAACUUUUAACUAAACAAAACCCAAGGCUCCUUAGGGGGGCUCAUGGGGUAUAUAAAGGAGGAGGGAGAGAUAUUUUCGUCCACCUUGAAUAAGGAGUCCGAAAUCCAACUCUAUCUCUAACUUUCCUAACAAACUACAACUCUUUAGGAAACAAAAAAACAGAUCCGUCAGCUUGUUUUGUCCGCCACGGUCAGCACGAGUCGAAUCUCUUGAUGGGGCCAGAUCCGUUGGAAAGGUCUUGUAAUUACCUUUCCAACAAGUACUUGUUUGCUUGAUUUGGACUCCGGAUGCGGCCUGGGUGAUUAAAACAAAUUCGGGUCUCCUGGCAGUUCGGACCCGAAUCGGAUUCAACUUUAAUUCGUGAUAUCUUUCUCUAGCAAGCUCCGAAUCAUGUGCCGUUUGAUUUGUUGCAAAGUACACUUGAAAUCCUUCCCUCUCAGCUGUAUGAAUGCUUGAUUCUUGUUGGCCCUCCCGUUCGCCUUCAUCGUAUCUCAUCUUCACCUUGGACUUGAAAAGCUCGACAAGAUGCCUACGUAAUAAAACGAGACAAGAUAGUAGUAGGUCCGCCUCUUCAUAAAUAUGACAAUGAAAGCAAUUACUACUUGAAUUCACCUGAUUAUAAAUCUUGUCAAAUAUUAUAGAAUUGAGGGCACCAAAGGUCGUAUCCAUGGUUAGCAUGUCCAUAUCACUUCACCCAUGCCCGGAGACUCCGGGGCUGGUGAGGCCGCCGCGCCCCCGGCAGGGGCCGUCCCCUGCUGGGUAGCAGAGGAAUCCGCGCCCGCUGCGUCGGCGGCUGCCGGCGCGUCGGCGGUUGACGCGGCCGGGCUUGGUGCGGGAGCCGCUGCCGGCUCCUCCGCCACCCCCGUGAUCUCCAUGUCUAAGUCGGGAUCAACCACGGUUGCGCCCGCUCCCGGUGCGCUUGGGCCUACAGCGGCAAGAAGCGUGAGAAGCGGCAAGCGAAAAAAUAGCCCAGAGGCGGACAAGGGGGCUCAGGGCGGUUACCUUGCAAGGCCGACGGACUUGCGGGGGGAGCUUCCCUCUCCUCCUCCGCCCCGGCAGGGGGCUCCAAGAGGCUUGCCGCGGGCGAGGUGCCACCUACGGAAAGAGAAGGUACGGUUGUGAGAUUAACUGGCGAUCGAAAAUGCAGGAAAGAGCGCAGGAAGGAGCCGUACCUGAUGCGCUGGAGUGCGAAGCCCCGGAAGACCCCUCGAGCGGGCGGAGCCGUGCGUGCCCGUGGGGUUGCCGCGGCCCGAGGUACCACAGGCACCGACGACGAGGUCGCCGCGGCGUCCGGGACCGUCCCCGGUGUGGCUGCCACUGCGGCCCUGGCGGCCGCUGCUGAGGUGGCCGCCGCUGGGUCGCUGGCGGUCGCCGCCGGGGGGGUCACCGCCGUGACUUUGGUGACCGCCAUGGGUGCGGUCGCCGCCGAAGUACCGGCGGACACCCCUAGGGCGGCCGCCGCCGCAGAGCUGGUAGCUGCCGCUGGGGCGGGUGUCGCCGCAGCCGCCGUGGAGAUAGCCGCGGCCGCUGCGUACGCCCUUGAUCUCCGCACGAUCAGGGACGCAUCAUCACUGUCCUCGUCGUCGUCGUCCACAGGGACGACUACCUGGGAUGCCGUAGGCUGGCCCGCCUCGUCGUCCAGAGAUUGGAGGGAGGGCCAGCUGAUCUCCCACUCGCCCCCCCUCUCCUCAAGCAGCUGCUUCCCGCGAGGUGCCGGUGGGGGAGCGCGCGGGGUCCAAGUGGGGGUAUCAUCCAUUAAUCCCCACUCGUUGCAGGGCGGGAAGGCGGCGACGAUGCCGUUGAGCUCCGCAACGCCGGCAUGGAGGGAGAUGACCCCCGGCGGGAACCCCGUUGUGGGGAGGUCUUCACCGGAGAUCCCCUCACCCACACUUGGAAGGAUUCCGAAUCCACGCCUUCGCGGCGGAGGCGUGUCCUGUCCCCCGAACCCGUGUACAUCCACGCGGGCCGGGAGCGCAGUUGGAGCGGCACGACGCGCCAGGUGAUGAAGGUACGCGCCACGUCCACAUCAGUGAGCCCCGCCAGCCGAAAGCCUUGAUCUUCUCCAUGAUGGGGGGGAGGAGAUCGACGUCGUGGUGGUACCGGUCCCGCCAGCCGACGUGGGGUUGCGGCAACUCGGUGGGCGGGAGGAUGAACUCCUCGGGGUCUCUACGCAGACCCAGCACCAGUCCCCGCGCCACUCCUUCUCGAUCUUCUUCUCCGACCGGACGAUGAACUCAAAUUUCAUCCGAUCGCGGGCGCGAAACACCACCCCUGACGACAUCGCUUUCGCGUUAUCGAUCCGGGGGUAGAAGUAAUGGCAGAAGAGCACCACCGACGGCAUCACCCCGACGAACGCUUCGCAGAGGAAUUGGAAGGUGGCGAGGAGGAAAAGCGACGUGGGGUGAAGCUGCGCCACCCGCAGCUGGUACGACUCCAUCAGUGCGUGGAGAAACAGCGAGAACGGCGGCACCAGUCCGGUGAGGAGGAAGCGCCCGAACACCUGGAAGUCGUUUUCCUGGUGGUCGGCGCCCGCGGGGAAGAUCAGGGUCUCCCCAUGUUCGUUGAACCCGGAGGCGAAGGCGUGCCGGAUCUUGUCCAGCGCCUCGCCGUUGUAGUCGGGCUGGUAGAAGGCAAGCGUGGCCCUCAUCGCCCGCUUCUUUUGAUCCUUGUCAGCGGCGGCCUUGGCGGCCGCCUUGCUUUUGCUGGCCGCUGCUCUCUUCGAGACCUUCCCCUCUUUUCCCUUCCUGGUGGUGGGGGGGGCCAUGGGGAACGGAGGCAGAAGUUAGCCGGAACUCUUGGGCACAAGGUGCGAAGGAGUUGGAACCGGUGUUGCCGGCCCACGCCCGGGGCUACUGUCGCACCAAUGGCACCCGGGGUGCCACCGUUGCACGACGCAUGGGUCACGUCGCCGAGUUCCCGGGUGCAUCUCACCCUGUGCGGCAACUGCAGGCUGCCCGGCAAGCUACCAGCCUAGAAGGGCUAGCGGGGCUUCGGGGAAUAUUCCUGCCUGGGCACCUCCCGGGAAGUCACUUGCUAGGAGGAGGGGUUCCCGGGCGCAGGUUCCCGCUGUGAGGGCGGGGCCGAGCGAGCAGAGCAGCGACGCCACGUGGGCGUGCGCUGGGCGCCCAGAGUGCAGUCUCGUCAGGGCAAGGAGUGAGCCGCACGGCGCACUCGAUGAGCCUACAGGAGAGACGUUAUCCGUCUUGUCGGACAAACAGUGGUUGUCCAGUCCUAUUUUCUUAGGACCUAAACCCCUAGCAGCGGGGUUGGCGCUCAUGCAUGCAUGCCAGCGCACCGAGGAGGAGUUGCCCAAGCUCCUUGCUCGCCACUUGUAAACCAUGCACCGUGGCACCUGUGGUAUCCCCUUGGCUAUAAAAGGAGGACCCCCACCAACGGUCAAAGGGUUCAGAAAAUUCAGCUGGUUCGCUAGGUUCUUCCCUGUAGCUCGUUGGUUUGUUUGCAGAGCCAACUAGUAGUGCACACCGGCAGUAGCCCGAAGCGGAAAGAAGCGCUUAGCCAAAAAGAGAUUACCCCGGGGGCUUCCCCCGGCAACUUGUAAUUAGCUGUUUUCUCAGUAAUACAGGCUCAGACAAGCAGGACGUAGGGUUUUACACCUCCGGGUGGCCCGAACCUGGGUAAAAACGUGCGUGCAUGUGCUCGCAUUGAAUUCCGCAGGUCACGUUGGCCCAUUGGCCAUGCCGACGAUCGCUGGAGCGAUCCCCGCCGCCCCUGCCGAACCUAAAAGGGGGCCCCCGCAGGCCCCCGGUGUCAAAGCCCCGUGGUACGACAAUUUGCCCAAAUUUGAUGAUCCGCACCUUUUUGGAAUCCUCAUGACAUCUAGAAACUUUCGGCACAGUUUGUUUUCAGUUUUGGACAUCUGAAACAGGACCAAAUGACAGAAUGCUUCACUUUGAACAUAAUCACCAAAAAAAUUGUUUUAUAAUUAUUUUGGAUGAUUCAUCCACUCUUAAAAUUUCUUAGUGAUACACUCUAACCAGUAGAGCCAGUAGAAAACUUGGUCCGUUAUAAAAAUGAAUGCAACACCAACGAAUGAGUAAUCUGGCUUAGAAUGGAUUAAAUCGGCUUAUUUUUCAUGUUUCCAAGUUGCACCUCAUGAACCUGAUCUUAACAUUGCAUCACGUAGACUGAAAAUCACUAAACGAACUAUUUGUGACAUGAACAAAAUUUAGGUUGCAUCAUGUGUGUAGCAUCAUGGCAUUUUUCAAUUGAUUACUUUAUUAUAUUUAUGCUAGCUAUGCUGUCCUAGUAGAGUAGAUUUUUCCCCACUGUCAAAUCCCCACCAAUAGCCAUCGUAUUAGUUUACGCUUAGCCGUGCUAUGUAAUUAUAUGAGGGAGGAACCACUUUCAUUCUAGAGGUAAUGUUAGAAUAAAAUUGUUAUUUUUGGAAGUAUGGUUAAAAUCAACCCCUAAUGAACCAUCCCGGGUGGGCGGCUUUGAGUACUUUGGAUGUACGCGACGUCAGGUCCAUAUCUAUGGGGCCCGCUGAGUCGUCUCUCCGUGGUUACGGGAGCGUCCAUGGUCGUCUCCCGUGGAUUCGGGGAGCGCCUGCGUUGCAAAUGUGGAAUGCCACCCGGGGUAACCAGAGGCUGAAUUGGAUUCCCAUUUGAAUGCUUCCAAUACAACCACAUGCUAUAUGGGCUCUGGCGAGAAUAUAGUAUGUUGUAUGAACCUAGACCCGAAGAAUUGUAAUGAUGUAGCAGUGUAGGUGGAGCGUGAUUCUCUCGUGGUCUAGGGAAUUACUUCUGAAAAUCUCGUAAUCGACGCCGUUGCUACUCUACCCUGAGGACAGCAAGGGAUUAACCUGUCGGUUUCUUGUGGGGAAUGUGUACAACCUCUCGAGACUGUCAAAACUAAGUACUUAGCCGUGUCCCCGGUUAUGGACGAAUUAUGAGCAGUGGGAUAUCGAAACUAAGUAAGGUCUCGCUCAUUCAAAUUUCUAAAUAAAACGAAUGGUUUAAACUUGGGUUAGGAGCAUUGAUGUGUGUACUCAAUGUCCUUAGAUUUAAAUAGGAGCAUCGGUGUAUCUACCCGAUGUCCAAUAGAUUUAUUAUAAUGUAAAAUUCAAUUGUAGUAGGAUAAAAAUGUUAUGUUAAUUGCUUCCAUGCAAAAAAGCCUGAUCUCCACACAGCCAAUAAUUGCAUAUAUUUGUUAGGAUCUGUUAUAAUCCUCGGUGAACUUGCCAAUACAUUAAAUGUAUUGACCCUAGUGGCUGCAACCUUUAAAUUGUUGCAGGGAAUUCCGACGACGAGUAAGGUUACGUUGUUGGGUCAUGAGCCUGCAUUCCAACAUGCGCUCUCUGUGGCGUUGAAUUGGCUCAAUGUUUUUCUUCGCUUUUCCGCUGUUGAAUAAACUAUGUUAUUUUUUUUAAAUGCUAACCCGAGAGGUUAUGCAAAGUUGUAAGUACUAUAAAGUUCUAGAUGAUGACGUUGUAAUAAAAUUACUUGACCUUUGUUUCUCGAUAUUACAUCUUGAACUGUGUGUGCUAGUGAGUCGAUCCAGGGACUAGCACUAAAAGCACAAAGAUCGAACCCUGUAUGGGGGAGGUCGCUUCAGCAUUGCAGAAUCCUCAUGCAAGAGGCAAUAUUAAGUGUACUUCAACCAAAAGUUUAAACCACGAUGGAUAGGACUUCAAGUUUUAAACGACGAAGAACGAAGAACUAGAUAAAAGCAAACUCCCCCUGAGUCAAAUAAACGCGAAACCCUCCCCCUGACUCAUUCUCCCCCUUUGGCAUCAAGAUGCCAAAAAGGUUGAAGACUUUACUGGACCGGAGUGGCUUCGCUGUCUUCAGGCUUCAUGACGUCUGGGAAGUGCUUGGCGAAGAAGUCUUGAAGCAUGCCACUGGUCUUGUCUUCGCGGGAAAUCAGCUUCUUGAUUAGCACCUCUUGGUUCUUCAAAAGAGCUGCAUGCUUCCCGAGCAUGUCUUGCUGAUCGUCGAUCUUCUUGGAGAGCUUCAACACAAGAUUCUUCAGAGAGCCAUCCGUGCAUGAGCUGGUCUCAUACUGAGAAUCAGAUGGACGAAUUGGCUGCUUCAGCUGCUGUUGCGACGGAAUUGGCUGUGAUCCUUGGACGGGCAAUCAGACACUGAAGUAGGAGGUAGCAGAGACGGCUCUGGAUCUUGAGGCUUUAGCGAGAAGUACUUGUGCUGAUGUUCCAACUCAAAGCGUUUCUCGGACAACUGCAAUAUUAUCUUCAUGAUCUGAGGAGCGUAUGGCAAUGCACGCACACGGUCGGCAGAGGCAUGAGUGAUAGUCUGAAGAAUGUAAUCUCCGAAGUCCUUCUUCUCACCCUUGAAGACGGCAAGCAGCAGAUUGUGGUGAAGACCAGCAAUUUCACUUGAGCUGCCUUGCUUGGGAGUGAGUGUGAAACGGAGAAUGUCAUUGAGAAUCUUUGCUUCAGGCUUCAGUCUAGAGAGUCCUCCAAAGGCGCCUGAGAAUCCUUCUACAUACAGGAUAGCAAUGUCUUCAUCUGAGGCACCCUUUUCUUCAUGUAUCUUGGGCUGGCCAUCGAACUCAGCUAGAUCAAUCUCAUCGAAUUUUUUUUUUCUUUCUUUCUUUCCUUUUUUUUCUUUCCUUUUUUUUUUUUAACUUUCCGAACAACUUGAUCUCUAAACAAAAUUCGAUCUAUGAUGAAACACUUUCCAAAAGCACUCCUUAUUGGACUCAGACUCAAACUCGCGGCUGAAAACUAUAACUUGCCGACUCGAUGUAGGACUGGAAGAGGGACUCGGUGUAGGACUCGAAGAGGGACUCGGUGUAGGACUCCAAGAGGGACUCGGUGUAGGACUCGAAGAAGGACUCGGUGGAAGAUAUGGUGGCGGUGGAAGAUUAUGGCGGUGGUGUGGCAGCAAGUUUGGCGGCGGAAGAUUGAUGAAGGAAACCUGCGUCACACGAAGAACAAGAAAACCAAAAGCAAGUUCGAUCUAGUAGAAAAAAAUCUGAAAAACGAUCCAAUCUAAUCCAGCAACUCGACACGAUUAAUGCAGCAAAGAUUCAACAAUGCAAAUACUAAAGUGAAAAUUGCAAGGCUCAGAUUGGUUCUACGACAAGGUAACUAAUUCUAAUUUUUAUUUGGCUUUUUCUGGACGAUAGGUAAAAACAGAUCUAAACUACGAAUAAACUGGAAAAAUCUCACCGAGCAACCUUAAGCUCUGAUACCACGUGAUACGGGUGCGGGUGGCCCGAUCUUUCGAUGAGAUUGAUAACUCUCGAUUUGUGUAGGAGGUGACGUUGAUGAUCCGACUACGGCCUAGAAGGCAGCGCCUUAGCAAUCGAUACACCAACUCCAAAGGGUUAUUGAUCACGCGGGGGCACGAUCAACCUGACCACGAAGGUCUUUGUUCCUGCAAGCAAUCGAAGAACAAGCAAGAACAAGAUAAAUAGCGGAUGCAAUCUAAAAUUGCGAAUAUACUAUAUCAAACCAAUGUCUCAACGAGACGAUAAGUUGGAGUCUUGACGACGGUAAAACAGGUGGUCUAACCGACACACGCGAUUACACGAAAGUAGCAAAGAUGGCUAAACUUUAUCUAAUCAAAACCCAAGGCUCCAUAGGGGGGCUCAUGAGGUAUAAAUAGGAGGAGGGAGAGAUAUUUUCGUCCACCUUGAGUAAGGAGGCCGAAAUCCAACUCUAUCUCUAACUUCCCUAACAAACUACAACUCUUUAGGAAACAGAAAAACAGAUCCGUCAGCUUGUUUUGUCCGCCGCGGUCAGCACGAGUCGAAUCUCUUGAUGGGGCCAGAUCCGUUGGAAAGGUCUUGUAAUUACCUUUCCAACAAGUACUUGUUUGCUUGAUUUGGACUCCGGAUGCGUCCUGGGUGAUUAAAACAAAUUCGGGUCUCCUGACAGCUCGGACCCGAAUCGGAUUCAAAUUUAAUUCGUGAUAUCUUUCUCUAGCAAGCUCCGAAUCAUGUGCCGUUUGAUUUGUUGGAAAGUACACUUGACGUCCUUCCCUCUCAGCUGUAUGAAUGCUUGAUUCUUGUUGGCCCUCCCGUUCGCCUCCAUCGUAUCUCAUCUUGAUCUUGGACUUGAAAAGCUCGACAAGAUGCCUACGUAAUAAAACGAGACAAGAUAGUAGUAGCUCCGCCUCUUCAUAAAUAUGACAAUGAAAACAAUUACUACUUGAAUUCACCUGAUUAUAAAUCUUGUCAAAUAUUAUAGAAUUGAGGGUACCAAAGGUCGUAUCCAUGGUUAGCAUGUCCAUAUCAUCCUCCCUUUCUUGAAAGGAAAGCCGUCCUCGGCGUCGUUUGUGCUGUAAAGAGACCGACAAAACAGACAAAGUGUGUGCAUGGUAUAUGUAUAUGUCAUCAAUUUUAACUCCACUCCCAUGCUGCACAUUCGAUGUUUCACGUAAAUAAAACUCAUAAUAGUGCAAAGGAUUAAUAGUCAUAUUCCAACGACAAGUAUCACAUUUUAAUUUGUAAUUCUCAUCAUUAAACCAUCCUAAUGUAGGUGAACAAUAAUUCAAAAUUCCCAAAUGGCGAGCUACAAUAUGCGUCAAUGUGCAAUCAUGCCACAAGUUAUUUGUCGUACAACUAUCACCAAUAUUAGAGGUCAUAUCAAAAUGAUUGAGCAUACACAAAAUAUUGUUGUCUCUCAAAUCAAGAAAGUUAUCACAAGCAAUGCAAAUCUGAUGCACCAAAACUUUAUUGUUGACAUCAUGUUCUCCAAUUAAUUGAAUAGUGUAUCCAUGGGCAUUAGCAAAAGAUUUUGAAAUUGUUAACUCAGAAACUUUAUCCAUUGCAUGUGACAAAUAUAUAGGUGUAUCAAGUGUAAUAUAACACAAAGAAUUAAUAGGUGGAUCCUUAUCAAUCACUCCAUGUCUAAUCAACUCGACACAACCUAAAUCAAAUUUAUCUAUCUCACUUGUUUCUCCCAAAUCAUUAGUUAUUUCCUCACAUGAUUCCUUCUCAUCAAUAUCAAAAUUAAUAUGUGCACUCAAAUCAUUAGAAGAAUUAAUUUCAGCAGUAGGUGCACUCAAAUCAGCAUGUAAAUCAACAAUUUCACAUGGUGCAGAAAAUUCAACGGGUAUCUCAUUUAUUUCAUCACAUGUCAUAUUUUGUUCAGCAACACAAUCAUCUUUAUCAUUACCUUGUAGGCUCAACACGUUUCUUGUACACCUUCUCUCCAAUUUCCUCUCCGCUUCACGAGCAAGAUUAAGCAAACACAAUAGAGAGUCGUAUUUUCCGUAUUCAAUUAUGUAAGAAAUAUCAAAGUUAAGCCCACAAUAAAACCUAUCCAUUUUUCUUUGUUCGGUUUCAUCUAAACCAGAUCGCAAGGUUAAAAUUUGGAACUCAUGGUAGUAAUCAUCAACAGUUUUAUCAUCUUGUGUCAAACGUCGUAAUUUGGAACGCAACUCAUAAGCAUAACUUGGAGGAACAUAUUUUUCUCUCAUGAUUUUCUUCAUAUCAAUCCAAGUGUGAGGUAUUUUGUUUUCUCUAACUAUCUCACACCACCAUGAUAAUGCAUCAAAACGAAAUUUACUACUAGCAAUUUGGACCUUACGACUAUCUAGUACAUGGAAGCAUGUGAAUUGUUCAGUUAAAACUAGCUCCCAAUCUAUAUACGUUUCAGCAUCAUUUUCCCCCUCAAAGAAAGGUACACACAAUUUAAUUGUAUUAGAAGGAUUGUUUUGUACCGUUGCCGUGGCAUUAUCAACAAGAGGCGUGGAGGAUGGCCGUGGUGAAAAGCACUCAUGGCGGUCACGGGAUAGCAUCGGUCUAGUUGCCAUGCUUCGUGUAAGUCCUGUCAUGAUUAGUAGAAAACAAGAAACAAAUCACAGUAAUAUGUUCCUAUCAACUACUAGGAUGUGGCUACAAGUCGCUCAACUCUCAAGCUAAAAAUCAAGUUCUUACAAGUUCUUACCAUGCAAAACAGGAAGGUGAUGGCCAGCGGUGUAACCAACACCUCCGGAGAUUAAAUGUAUCGAUGCCUCGGUAACAAACCAACCUAGGUGUAGAAUCUGUGGAGCUUGGAGGCUUUUGUGAGUAGGAAGAAAUAGCAAAUAAUCAAAUCAGCAAUGCAAAGUUGAAAAUAUGCUCAAUAAUGCGAGUCCUAGCUGCUGGAGUCGAUAAGAACGAAUUACAGAAAUAAUCUAAGCCUAGAUACUGAAGAAGGUAGGAUAGAAAGAUGGCACAACAAGUAAAUCCCUGAGAUUUUUUUUCUUUUUUUUUUCUUUUUGUGGCCUUCUGUUUGGCUUCUUAUUCUUUUCUUCUUUUUUUUCUUUUUUUUUAACCCCAGAAACUCACGCAAAAGAAGGACCGGAAAACUGUACGUCGGUCUGUCGAAAAACAGCAAAGGCUGCAGUAAGAAAAAUUCAGAAAAAUAUGGAAAAAUAUAGGUUCGAAGGGUAUCGACAAAAGCUUUCCAGCAAGGGCACAAUCACUCAAAACGGAUGUCGGACGGUGGAGAAAACUGAGAAACACCGGGCUGCAGCGAUGCCGGAAAACGAAUGGAGAAACUUGGAAGCUCCGAAAGUCCACCUUACAAACCGAAUUUGAGGGUCAAAGUGCAGGGCAACGCCCUGGAUAUUUCCUGAUGCGCCUCGUCGUGAGCUUUCCAAAAAGUCCAAGAACGUCGAAAUCCGAGUUGGUACGCAAAAGAUACGCCCGUUUUACUGAACACGGGUCAAACCCACCCGAAACUAAAAUUCUACCCGGACUCGGAUCCGAAACUGACUCGAACUCUUUCUCUUUUUUUUCGUUUUUUUUCUUUCUUUCUUUCCUUUUUUUCUUUCCUUUUUUUUUUUAACUUUCCGAACAACUUGAUCUCUAAACAAAAUUCGAUCUAUGAUGAAACACUUUCCAAAAGCACUCCUUAUUGGACUCAGACUCGAACUCGCGGCUGAAAACUAUAACUUGCCGACUCGAUGUAGGACUGGAAGAGGGACUCGGUGUAGAACUCGAUGAGGGACUCGGUGUAGGACUCCAAGAGGGACUCGGUGUAGGACUCGAAGAAGGACUCGGUGGAAGAUAUGGUGGCGGUGGAAGAUUAUGGCGGUGGUGUGGCAGCAAGUUUGGCGGCGGAAGAUUGAUGAAGGAAACCUGCGUCACACGAAGAACAAGAAAACCAAAAGCAAGUUCGAUCUAGUAGAAAAAAAAUCUGAAAAACGAUCCAAUCUAAUCCAGCAACUCGACACGAUUAAUGCAGCAAAGAUUCAACAAUGCAAAUACUAAAGUGAAAAUUGCAAGGCUCAGAUUGGUUCUACGACAAGGUAACUAAUUCUAAUUUUUAUUUGGCUUUUUCUGGACGAUAGGUAAAAACAGAUCUAAACUACGGAUAAACUGGAAAAAUCUCACCGAGCAACCUUAAGCUCUGAUACCACGUGAUACGGGUGCGGGUGGCCCGAUCUUUCGAUGAGAUUGAUAACUCUCGAUUUGUGUAGGAGGUGACGUUGAUGAUCCGACUACGGCCUAGAAGGCAGCGCCUUAGCAAUCGAUACACCAACUCCAAAGGGUUAUUGAUCACGCGGGGGCACGAUCAACCUGACCACGAAGGUCUUUGUUCCUGCAAGCAAUCGAAGAACAAGCAAGAACAAGAUAAAUAGCGGAUGCAAUCUAAAAUUGCGAAUAUACUAUAUCAAACCAAUGUCUCAACGAGACGAUAAGUUGGAGUCUUGAUGACGGUAAAACAGGCGGUCUAACCGACACACGCGAUUACACG
rnacentral:lncRNA from 1 species